rnacentral:rRNA from 1 species
CCCUUAGAUGUUCUGGGCCACACGCGCGUUACACUGAUGAAGCCAGCGAGUAUAUCGCCUUCACCGGAAGGUGCGGGUAAUCUUGUGAAACUUCAUCGUGCUGGGGAUAGACCAUUGCAAUUAUUGGUCUUGAACGAGGAAUUCCUAGUAAGCAUGAGUCAUCAACUCGUGCUGAUUACGUCCCUGCCCUUUGUACACACCGCCCGUCGCUACUACCGAUUGAAUGGUUUAGUGAGAUCUCGGGAUUGGAGACGUUGCGCCGCAAGGCACAUCGUCCUCGAGAACUUGAUCAAACUUGAUCAUUUAGAGGAAGUAAAAGCCGUAACA